rnacentral:snRNA from 1 species
UUUGCUUCUUGGCCUUUUGGCUAAGAUCAAGUGUAAUACCUGUUCCUUUCAUCUUUUAUAUACCCUCA